rnacentral:rRNA from 1 species
GUCCACGCCGUAAACGAUGGAUACUUGGUGUUGGAGGUAUUGACCCCUUCAGUGCCGAAGCUAACGCGUUAAGUAUCCCGCCUGGGAAGUACGGUCGCAAGAUUAAAACUCAAAGAAAUUGACGGGGGCCCGCACAAGCGGUGGAGCAUGUGGUUUAAUUCGAUGCAACGCGAAGAACCUUACCUUGGUUUGACAUGUACUGGAAGACUACCAGAAAUGGUGUCGCCUUCGGGCCGGUACACAGGUGCUGCAUGGCUGUCGU